AUUGAACGCUGGCGGCAGGCUUAACACAUGCAAGUCGAGCGAGCGGCGGACGGGUGAGUAAUGUCUGGGAAACUGCCUGAUGGAGGGGGAUAACUACUGGAAAGGUAGCUAAAAACGCCUACCAUCCAGUGUUGCCAGAUGGGAUUAGCUAGUUGGUGGGGUAAUGGCUCACCUAGGCGACGAUCCCUAGCUGGUCUGAGAGGAUGACCAGCCACACUGGAACUGAGACACGGUCCAGACUCCUACGGGAGGCAGCAGUGGGGAAUAUUGCACAAUGGGCGCAAGCCUGAUGCAGCCAUGCCGCGUGUGUGAAGAAGGCCUUCGGGUUGUAAAGCACUUUCAGCGAGGAGGCGUUACUCGCAGAAGAAGCACCGGCUAACUCCGUGCCAACAGCCGCGGUAAUAC
rnacentral:rRNA from 1 species